rnacentral:lncRNA from 1 species
AACUCUAACAUGGAAACCUCAAAUAAACUAGAAAUGACAUAAGCCCCUAGCAUUAGGCCGACGCCGACCGACCAAAACACUUCAAAAUCACACCUUUCCGUAAUAUCACAAAAAUACCCGCAUUCACAUAAUGAAUAUCGAUCGAAUUCCAACCUGAGAUGCGCUCACGGCGGUUGAGUAAGCCCGAGGGGGAAGGCCAAAGCCCCACGAAAAGAAGCCGACGAUGCCGCGGAGCUUGACGCCCCUGGCAGAUACCGAGGCGAGAACAUUAGCUUCGCGAAGCGAUGGGCCAG